AGUCUGAUGCAUCCGGUGACUUUUUCUGUUUAAACUGAACAUGCUAUGUUUUCAGGGCAAGUCUCAUCAAACGGGAAACAGCUUGCUCAAGCACCGGAAAGGAAACUGAGAUUUGAUAUACUGUGUUAGUAUGCGGACAAAGGGGCCACAUGCAAUGUGACUGUCGUUCCAAGGGGGGCGCAAUUUUAAUCCAAGGGCGCCAUCACAUAGACAGUCAAUGCAACAGCCACAGCAAGUGCAUCAGAAACUAUCUGACAGUAAUUUCCAGACAAACUGGCAUAACAAAAAAAAAAACAAUGAAGAAGUCCACAUUUAUUUGAUAUUUGAUAAUGAUAAUGAAAGUUAACUUAACUUAAAUUUAAUGGUAAAAUGCAUAUAUUUCUCUUGGAUACUGAAGUAUUAUUAAUGUCUUCAUCUGAAUAUGAGGGACCAACUACUGAUAAAUUUGCUCUUUGGGUAGUCCAGAAACUGUAAUGUUCCGUCCCAUUACACCACCUCUGGAGGUAAGCUCCAGGUGUCAAGCCAUUUUUUCACAAAUUUCACAUCAUACCAGAUGGUUGUCUUAAUUUGCUCGGGCGAGACAUAAUGCAUAACUUAAAUAUGGAACAUCAAAUUUCAUGAUUCUCAUGUUGUUUUCUCUUUUAUGUCAUGUUUACAGACAUACAUUGAUCCUCUGCCUAUGGGGGAGGAAGUGAGAAGGCCGACCAAGACCCAGUGACCGCCCGCAUACCACAGAAUGUAGACACUUUGAUUAACUCAUGCCUAUGGUCUCAGUCAAACAAUGAUACAGGUUUCAUUGAUAUGAAACCAUACAAAGUUAAAACUUAAAACCUGUGUACAUUACACAAUAUCCUUUGUCAAAAGAAAAGGAAGAUGGCAUUAAACCUAUUAUUUACAAUUUUGUUUACCAAGGUGUCUUCAUACAAACACGCCAAACAACACACCGAUUAACCCGGUGGUGAAUGCUGAUGAAAAGACAUUAUGUCUUACACAAGAAUUAAGAGCAAUCAUUAAACUGAUAAUUCCUCUGUCUCCAAUUGUUCCAGAUGUGCCGACUGUCAUAAAUUUUAUACCAUGCACACAUAAGUAUUUCUGUCAUUUAUUUGUGUGCUGCUUUUGUCUCUCUGUUCCAGUGCAUCCAGACGCACAGCCACUGCUAGCCUUAUAGGAUAGGGGGCGCAAAUACUAAGAAGGGUAUGCUGAAUCACCAUCCGUCCUCUCCGCUGCGGUGAAAAAGACAUUGAAAAAAAAAGAUCGACUUGCUGUCUUCAGUUUGCAUUCUGCAGUAUGCUGAUGACAUCAUGGCCUCUGCUCUGACUGAAAAGAACUGUGAGAAAGCCUCCAUUAUUGUCUGCAAUAUUCUGGGGAACGCUGGUUUCAAAGCAUCAAAAGAAAAGCUCCAGUGGGUCAAGCAAAAGUCCUCGUACCUGGGUCACGUCAUAAUGCCAGGUCUUCGGAAAAAAAACCCUCCACAGAUCAGAUUGAACUGAUCCGGAAGAUGAAAUUCCCAUGAACUGUGUAACAGCUCCAAAGUUUUCUGGGGUUCAUAAACUUUUGUCGCUCAUGGAAACCUGAGUGUGCUGCCCAUGACAGACAUUUGCGGAGUAUGAUUGAUCACAAGGCAUCACCUGCAUCACUGAUAUGCUGGACUGAUAAAGCAGAGACUCAUUUCAUGGCACCGAAACAUGCCAUUACUACGGCCCCAGCUCUGGGCCAUCGAACUAUGCAAAGACUUUUCACCUGCAUGCGCGAGAGGCGAAGGGUGUGGCUCUGGGUAUCCUUUGGCAACAACAAGGUUGCACUUAUAGGCCAGUGGCAUAUCUGUUUAGAAAACUAGAUAAUGUAGUCACAGGUAUGCCUGAAAUGUCUUUAUACAGUGGCUGCUGAUGUUCUGUUUGUACAGGUGGCUGAGAGAACGAGGCUGUCACAGUCAAUGACUCUACACAUUAUAUCAAGUAGGUACAUUUUUACACAACACAGGACGGCACAGAGGCGAUCUGGGUAUGAGACACUGUUGGCAACCAAAAAUGUAUUGAUCCAGCCCACUUUUAACAUUAAUUCCACUUUGCUGGGAGUUUUGGGACUGGUAGACAUGACUGAGCACGAUCUAAAACAUAACUGCAUUUUGAAUUGACCACUUCCUGUUCCUCUAGGGCCGAUUAAAUGGACUCGCCCGUAGAUGGGGGGGUCAGAUCUAUAUGGAUGGCUCAUAUGCAAAGCCAUCGGACAGUGUCUACCUGUGUGGUUAUGCUGUGGUGUCAGAUACUGGUGAGGUUAUUGAAGCCUUUGCUCUAAAAUACAACUCAGCACAAGCUGCAGAAUUGAUAACUCUAAAAAUGUUUACUCUAAAUUUUGUAAAAACAUGGGAAGCCUGAGAUUUUAAGACAACAGAUGAAAACCCUACUCAUUCUUUUGCUCCCGGACAGAGUGUUUUAAUUAAGAGUCUGAAACCGACAAGGGUUGGAGAGCCAAACUACUACGGCCCAGCCAAGGUGAUUGCUAUCACCAGGACCGGGGUUCUGACUGAUCGUCAGCCGCAGUGGAUUCACGCCUCGAGGCUGAAACACCACUCUGCCAUGGAUCAGGACACCGGAGACAAACCCAAACAACAACUGCUAUUCAAGGAGAUCAACGGAGAACGAGUGAGAGAUCUUGCUGGAAGCUCAACUGCCAGAAGGAUUCGAACCGUGUACAGUGACCGAAGCUUUCAUCAUCUUCAGCGAGCACACUGUGAAAGCAUAGCAAAGAGUAUUGGAAGACAACGAAACCAUCACAACCGACCCUGCAAAAGCGAUUCGUAGAUCAUAUGCUGUGGUAUAUGUUUAUUUUGAAUGAUGAUGAUCUGAAAGUUUAAAGAAAAAUAAAUAGAUAAAUGGUUUCUUGAAAAA